UACACGUUUCAAAGAUAGAAUCAGAGGAUAAAUUUGUAGAAGAGAUUGUAACCCCUAAAUCAUUAAUACAAAUAUUAUUUUGUACACGUGUUCUUGUCUGAUUCAUUGCAGGAAUUCCGUGUUUACACGAUCUCUGUUCUACGGCCUGAGAACCAGAGGAAACGUCACCGUGUCGCCGAUCUCGAUGGCUUCCAUGUCCAACCCCCGAGACAUUUUCUAGGACUUAAAGGGUUGAAGCAGCAUGGUUUGCGUGCGGGAUUUGGGUUUUGGGAGCUGAAAGUUGGAGGGUAUGGAGCUGGAGUAAGAAGAAGAACAAAAGGUAAACCACUAGCGGUAUGUUUUGCUUUGUUUCUCGUUUUGGUUUUUUGGUUUGCUUUUCUUGUUUCUGCUUUCGGAUUCAUACAGUUUUGUUGCUGCUGCUGAUGAUGAUAUUGUUGGUUUUCAUUGGCUCGUCACUUUCGGCUCAGAUGAGGAGAGAGAGGGUGAGAGAGGAGAGAGGAGAGAGGAGAGAGAGUGUUCUUUGCUCGCUCCACAGUGUAGACCAACCAACCACAGUAAAAACUAAGAUCAAAGUGGGCCAACCGGAUGCAACCACGUAUACAAUGAGAGUUCUUGCCAACAACAAAUGUAUACCAUGUUUCUCGUAUAAUUAUGUCAUCAGUAAUUCUGAUCAAAUGUAUUCCCUGUUUCUCGUUUUGGUUUUGAUUUGCUUUUCUUGUUUUUGCAGUAACUUACGAUUUGAAUGCAAAAUCUACUAGUUUUUCGAUUUAUUUAAAUGUCAUUAUAUGUGACUCAUGUAAACUACGUAUGUAUAUAACGCUCUUCUAAUUAUUUCUUUACACA